AUAUAUAUAUAUUAAUUAAGAUAAAUUAGACACCAUCUGAGCUCAUAUCAACCUGAUCGACAACGUAUAAAUUAAAGCAUUACCUACUCAAUGGACUAAAUCUUUUCACCUAAACUCGGUUUAAUCAAAAUCAAUAUAAAAGGGAUAAAACUAAUCAUUUAAAACUAUUUUAAAUUAAAAAAAAGGAUUUCAACACAAAAUAAAUGUCUAAAUUAUUAAGUUCAUUCCAAAUUAGUUUUAUUUGAGUUAUUAGUUUGAAUUAAAAAAAAGGUAAAAUGAUCAUUUCAAAAUCUUAUUGGACGGUUAUUAGAUUCAGUUUAGACAGCCUAAGACCGAACCACAUCUCUCUAUACAUUCGACAAGAAGCAACCGCCCACUCUCUCUACUUGCAAGAAUCGAACCCAUCAGCUCUUCUCUGUUUGAAACCUCCAGGCGAAACCCCUGCAGUUCGCAACUCUCGAUCUCCCUCUCCCCAUUAUUUCGGAAAUCACCCCCGUCAAGGUCUGAUCUCCUCUCUAUUUCAAAAAUCAACAGGCAUCACCCGUCUCUUCUCUUUCUUGGCAAGAACUAAACCUCCUCCUAGCCCCAUCUCUCACGAAAUCGAAGCCCAUAAGUCCCGUUACCCUCUCUUCUGCCUGCUCCCAAUUCGCAAAGACCCCAAGAAUCAAAAAUGUUCUCCCUCUCUAUUGGAACACCUGGAAAGAUCGAAGCAGCCAACCUCCCCUCUGAUUCGGAGAUCAAGAUCCUCUUCUCUCCCGUCGCCUGCCAUUCUCAAGCCCUAGCUAAGAGCCCUCAGCCCGUCGCUCAUCCCAGCCGCCAACCCUUUUAAUCUAGGUAUAUUUUUCAUUGCAUCUUCUCCUUCCUCUUCCUCUUAUUACUUACAUUUCUUUUGUUUGAAUCUGGAUGAUCGAAGUUGAUCAAUGAUUUGAGAUUUCGUGAUCUUUUGAAAUCUGAAAUGAGUUCUUCUUGAGGGUUAAAAUGCCCUAACUUCUUCCUCUUGGCAUUCUUGAUCUUAUUUUAGAAUGAAUGGUUAUAUCGUGGAGGCGUUAUUUAGAUUUGGAUUGGCAUUCAGUUUCUUGUGCCUUUCUCCAUCUUAUUCUACUAACAAAAAAAAAAAAAAAAAGAAACAGUUCACUGGAAUUCAAAAUGAUGCAAAGUGUAUUUGGUUUGACAUAACAUGCUUUUGAUACUUUGUUAAAUCCUCAUUUCAUAUUGAUAUCAAAGUUAUCGUAAUCUUUAACUUAAAGUUUUUUUUAUCACCAAAUGUUAUUGGCCAUCAUAGUUUUCAGUUUUCAUAGUAAGUGGAAUCAUAUACUUAUUCAGUUUGGUCUCAUUAGCAUUGUUGUACUGAUCAGUUUUUUUAAAGCUUUAAGUAUUUAAAACAAUAAGAUGUGAUGUUUGGAAGCCUCAUGAGCUUAGUGUUCAGUAGAGAAAUAUACAUAUGCUUAAUGCUAUUCACUUUAUGUGCCAUGAAUACAAGUUCAAUAAGAAGAUGGAUUGUAUGAGGCUUGUGUGAGCCUUUGUUUUGUUUCAUGAGUGAUAUCUUGUGGUUGUAAGUUGAGCUUGAUAUGAAGAAUGAUUUUAAAGUAACACUUUAUCAUUGUAUGGCUUAUGGCUAAUUGGAGAAAUAUAUAUACAAGUGUAUGUUUAGGAUUAUUCUUUCAAUGAGUUUUGGGAAAGGAGAAUGGUGGAAUUUUUCUUUGCUUUUACGACAAGAAGCAAGUUGUCAUUAGAAGAAAGAAAAGUUAGGAUUUUUGGGAGAAGUAAAAAGUGUGUUUGCAAAAGGUGAAUUGUGUGUUCAUAUGUUGGAAGGGUUUCAUGUGAGAAAAAUGAAAGGUUAAGUGUUUGGAUUGGUGAGGAGAAGUGUUUUGAAAUAUAAGUUUGUUUGGAAAAGUUAAGUGUGUAUAAAUGUGAAAAAGUGAACUAUGUGUGUAUGUAUGUUAAUAAUUAAAACUAAAAUAUGAAAAUUGAGAUAUGAAAUGUUUGGAAAAGAGUGUAUGUUGAAUAGUGAGAUGUAUGUGAAAUGCACAAUUGUUUAAAAGUAAAAGUGUGUGGUUGAAAAGUAUAUGAAUUGUGAGAGUGGAAUAUGCAAAUAUAAAAAAAAAAGAAUUAUGUGUUUCUUUGAAAAGUGACAUGUGUAAAUGUGAGAAGUAAAGCGUAUGUGUUAAAAAUGAAGUGUCUGAAAAGUGUUUGUGUGUAAAGGUAAAAUAAUGCAUUGAAAAGAGAAUUGUGUAAUUUUGAAAGGUAAAGUGUUUGUGUUGUGAAAUUGUGUGUGUUUUGGGAGGUAAAAAUGGGAAAGAUGAGAAAUGUUGGAUUGGGAGAAAUGAAGUGUGUAUGUUGAGUGGUGUUUUAAAGAUGUUGAUUGUUGAAGGUUGAGGUGUUUUAAGAGGUAAGUUGUGGGUGUUGGAGAGUGAGUGCUUUGAGUGACCAUUGGAAAGUGAAGUUUUAAAGAAGAACUAAGCACUUUUUCUCUCUACCUCUCUCUUUCCCUCUUUUACUCCCCCUUUUUUGUGCCUCGAGGUGAAUGUUGGAAAGAUACAAAAUGUGCUAUCAAAAGUGAAAAGUUCCAAAAGGCAAUCACCGAAAUAGUGUUCAAGUCCGAAGAAAGGUACGUUUUUUAUUUUUAAUAAAUUUCAAUUAUUUCAUUAUUAAUUAUUAAAUGUACUUCUAAUACAUGUUUUCUCUUCUUUAUUUGCAUGAACUACAAUGAAUGGUACCGUCGAGUGAACAAAAGGAUAAAGGGCUAAAGGCGUCAAUCGCUUCCAUUCAACCGGGUGGAGGUGCUACGGGCGAAACUACCGGGUCGUAGCCCCUGGAGAUUGUGUACCCGAGCACCCCAACGUUAUUCGAUAUAGAGCAGAGUGGCUCAGUGCUUCGUGACGCUGCAAUGCUGUGGGUUGGAGCGCCACAACAUAGUUAUGACAGAGGUUUGAGCGCUGCAGCACUGCGAGCGAACUAGACAAUUUUCUUUCUUGUUUUUCUAAUGUGUUGUAUCCCUUUGUGACAUUUACUUGACUUUAUGUUAUAUUUUGAGUGCAAGAACGGUGAGAGAGAGAGAAGAGAAGCAUGAAGAGUGAGAGAGAUGAGAGAUUUGUGCAUAUUUCUCCUCAUUUUAUAGUGGAUUCAUUGGUGUGGUGUGGCUCCGUAGUUUUUUUUUUCUCAAUUUUGAGUUUUUCAACGUUAAAUCUUAAUAAUGCCCUUUACUUUC